UACAGAGGUCUCGAGCGUUGUUCGGAUUCAUUGGGCGUAAAGGGUGCGUAGGUGGCGCUGUAAGUCGGGUGUGAAAUCCUGGGGCUUAACCCCGGAACUGCAUUCGAUACUGCAGUGCUUGAGGACUGGAGAGGAGACUGGAAUUCAUGGUGUAGCAGUGAAAUGCGUAGAGAUCAUGAGGAAGACCAGUGGCGAAGGCGGGGUCUCUGGACAGUUCCUGACACUGAGGCACGAAGGCCAGGGGAGCAAACGGGG
rnacentral:rRNA from 1 species